rnacentral:rRNA from 1 species
GAUGAACGCUGGCGGCGUGCUUAACACAUGCAAGUCGAACGAUGAAGCCCAGCUUGCUGGGUGGAUUAGUGGCGAACGGGUGAGUAACACGUGAGUAACCUGCCCUUAACUCUGGGAUAAGCCUGGGAAACUGGGUCUAAUACCGGAUAGGAGCGUCCACCGCAUGGUGGGUGUUGGAAAGAUUUAUCGGUUUUGGAUGGACUCGCGGCCUAUCAGCUUGUUGGUGAGGUAAUGGCUCACCAAGGCGACGACGGGUAGCCGGCCUGAGAGGGUGACCGGCCACACUGGGACUGAGACACGGCCCAGACUCCUACGGGAGGCAGCAGUGGGGAAUAUUACACAAUGGGCGCAAGCCUGAUGCAGCGACGCCGCGUGAGGGAUGACGGCCUUCGGGUUGUAAACCUCUUUCAGUAGGGAAGAAGCGAAAGUGACGGUACCUGCAGAAGAAGCACCGGCUAACUACGUG